UUCAAAGGAAAUUAGGAAAUUCAAAGCGGAACUAAAAGUCGGUUUCGUGUUUCUUCAGUGGAGCCUUCGUGAAACACACAGGAAACGAAAACAAAGCACAGAUAGCUGUUAGCUUUUCUUCAGUCCCACAGAGAGUUAAUCAGCGAGCAGUGAACUGCAGAAACAUUGACAGAGUUUAAAGAAAUCAUCGUCCAGUCGGAGGAAGAGAUGGAUGAUCAGCGCAGACUGCUUGAUUUCUCCCGGACUCCCCAGAUCAUCUUACACCGAAUAGAUUUCCUGCAAUGUCACAUUUAUAACCAGAAGGAGUUAGAACCUCUGCAGGUGAAA